AAGAACUAACAGGAUUCCCCUAGUAACUGCGAGUGAAGCGGGAAAAGCUCAAAUUUAAAAUCUGGCAGUCUUCGAUUGUCCGAGUUGUAAUCUAGAGAAGCAUUAUCCGCGCUGGACCGUGUACAAGUCUCCUGGAAUGGAGCGUCAUAGAGGGUGAGAAUCCCGUCUUUGACACGGACUGCCAGGGCUUUGUGAUGUGCUCUCAAAGAGUCGAGUUGUUUGGGAAUGCAGCUCAAAAUGGGUGGUAAAUUCCAUCUAAAGCUAAAUAUUGGCGAGAGACCGAUAGCGAACAAGUACCGUGAGGGAAAGAUGAAAAGAACUUUGGAAAGAGAGUUAAACAGUACGUGAAAUUGCUGAAAGGGAAACGCUUGAAGUCAGUCGCGUUGUCCGGGAAUCAACCUUGCUUUUGCUGGGCGUACUUCCUGGUCAACGGGUCAGCAUCAAUUUUGACCGUUGGAAAAAGUGGCUGGGAAUGUGGCAUCUUCGGAUGUGUUAUAGCCCAGUUUCGUAUACAACGGUUGGGAUUGAGGAACUCAGCACGCCGCAAGGCCGGGUUUUUAACCACGUUCGUGCUUAGGAUGCUGGCAUAAUGGCUUUAAUCGACCCGUCUUGAAACACGGACCAAGGAGUCUAACAUGCCUGCGAGUGUUUGGGUGGAAAACCCGAGCGCGUAAUGAAAGUGAAAGUUGAGAUCCCUGUCGUGGGGAGCAUCGACGCCCGGACUUGAACUUCUGUGACGGAUCCGCGGUAGAGCAUGUAUGUUGGGACCCGAAAGAUGGUGAACUAUGCCUGAAUAGGGUGAAGCCAGAGGAAACUCUGGUGGAGGCUCGUAGCGAUUCUGACGUGCAAAUCGAUCGUCAAAUUUGGGUAUAGGGGCGAAAGACUAAUCGAACCAUCUAGUAGCUGGUUCCUGCGUAUUUCCCCCCCCCGAAAAAAAU
rnacentral:rRNA from 1 species